rnacentral:rRNA from 1 species
GAUUAACGCUGGCGGCGUGCCUAACACAUGCAAGUCGAACGAGGUAGUAAUACCUAGUGGCAGACGGGUGAGUAACGCGUGGUCAACCUACCGUUGAGUGGGGGAUAACUAGCCGAAAGGUUAGCUAAUACCGCAUACGUCUCCGAGUGGCAUCACUUGGCGAUAAAAGGAGCAAUCCGCUCGAUGACGGGACCGCGUCCCAUUAGCUAGAUGGUGGGGUAACGGCCUACCAUGGCACCGAUGGGUAGCUGGUUUGAGAGAGCGACCAGCCACACUGGGACUGAGAAACGGCCCAGACUCCUACGGGAGGCAGCAGUGAGGAAUUUUCCGUCAAUGGGCGCAAGCCUGACGGAGCGACGCCGCGUGUGGGAAGAAGGCCUUCGGUCGUAACC